UGGCUCAGAUGGUAAAGAAUCUGCCUGCAAUGCAGGAAACCCGGGUUCGAUCCCCGG
rnacentral:tRNA from 1 species